rnacentral:rRNA from 1 species
UAUCUGCCGUGGGCGCUGGAGAACUGAGGGGGGCUGCUCCUAGUACGAGAGGACCGGAGUGGACGCAUCACUGGUGUUCGGGUUGUCAUGCCAAUGGCACUGCCCGGUAGCUAAAUGCGGAAGAGAUAAGUGCUGAAAGCAUCUAAGCACGAAACUUGCCCCGAGAUGAGUUCUCCCUGACUCCUUGAGAGUCCUGAAGGAACGUUGAAGACGACGACGUUGAUAGGCCGGGUGUGUAAGCGCAGCGAUGCGUUGAGCUAACCGGUACUAAUGAACCGUGAGGCUUAACCUUACAACGCCGAAG